UGCUGACGAGUGGCGGACGGGUGAGUAAUGUCUGGGAAACUGCCUGAUGGAGGGGGAUAACUACUGGAAACGGUGGCUAAUACCGCAUAACGUCGCAAGACCAAAGAGGGGGACCUUCGGGCCUCUUGCCAUCAGAUGUGCCCAGAUGGGAUUAGCUUGUUGGUGAGGUAACGGCUCACCAAGGCGACGAUCCCUAGCUGGUCUGAGAGGAUGACCAGCCACACUGGAACUGAGACACGGUCCAGACUCCUACGGGAGGCAGCAGUGGGGAAUAUUGCACAAUGGGCGCAAGCCUGAUGCAGCCAUGCCGCGUGUAUGAAGAAGGCCUUCGGGUUGUAAAGUACUUUCAGCGGGGAGGAAGGUGUUGUGGUUAAUAACCGCAGCAAUUGACGUUACCCGCAGAAGAAGCACCGGCUAACUCCGUGCCAGCAGCCGCGGUAAUACGGAGGGUGCAAGCGUUAAUCGGAAUUACUGGGCGUAAAGCGCACGCAGGCGGUCUGUCAAGUCGGAUGUGAAAUCCCCGGGCUCAACCUGGGAACUGCAUUCGAAACUGGCAGGCUUGAGUCUUGUAGAGGGGGGUAGAAUUCCAGGUGUAGCGGUGAAAUGCGUAGAGAUCUGGAGGAAUACCGGUGGCGAAGGCGGCCCCCUGGACAAAGACUGACGCUCAGGUGCGAAAGCGUGGGGAGCAAACAGGAUUAGAUACCCUGGUAGUCCACGCCGUAAACGAUGUCUACUUGGAGGUUGUGCCCUUGAGGCGUGGCUUCCGGAGCUAACGCGUUAAGUAGACCGCCUGGGGAGUACGGCCGCAAGGUUAAAACUCAAAUGAAUUGACGGGGGCCCGCACAAGCGGUGGAGCAUGUGGUUUAAUUCGAUGCAACGCGAAGAACCUUACCUGGUCUUGACAUCCACAGAACUUUCCAGAGAUGGAUUGGUGCCUUCGGGAACUGUGAGACAGGUGCUGCAUGGCUGUCGUCAGCUCGUGUUGUGAAAUGUUGGGUUAAGUCCCGCAACGAGCGCAACCCUUAUCCUUUGUUGCCAGCGGUCCGGCCGGGAACUCAAAGGAGACUGCCAGUGAUAAACUGGAGGAAGGUGGGGAUGACGUCAAGUCAUCAUGGCCCUUACGACCAGGGCUACACACGUGCUACAAUGGCGCAUACAAAGAGAAGCGACCUCGCGAGAGCAAGCGGACCUCAUAAAGUGCGUCGUAGUCCGGAUUGGAGUCUGCAACUCGACUCCAUGAAGUCGGAAUCGCUAGUAAUCGUGGAUCAGAAUGCCACGGUGAAUACGUUCCCGGGCCUUGUACACACCGCCCGUCACACCAUGGGAGUGGGUUGCAAAAGAAGUAGGUAGCUUAACCUUCGGGGGGGCGCUUACCACUUUGUGAUUCAUGACUGGGGUGAAGUCGUAACAAGGUAACCGUAGGGGAACCUGCGGUUGGAUCACCUCCUUACCUUAAAGAAGC
rnacentral:rRNA from 1 species